CCUACGGGAGGCAGCAGUGAGGAAUAUUGGUCAAUGGACGCGAGUCUGAACCAGCCAAGUAGCGUGAAGGAAGACUGCCCUAUGGGUUGUAAACCUCUUUUAUCUGGGAAUAAAACAGGCUAUGCGUCACCUCUUGUAUGUACCCUAUGAAUAAGCAUCGGCUAACUCCGUGCCCGCAGCCGCGGUAAUACUGAGGAUUCGAGCGUUAUCCGGGUUUAUUUGGUUUAAAGGGAGCGGAUGGGGAUUGUUAAGUCAGUUGGGAAAAUUUGGGGCUUAAACCUAGAAUUGCAGUUGAAACUGGCGGACUUGAGUACAGAAGAGGUAGGCGGAAUUAGUGGUGUAGCGGUGAAAUGCUUAGAUAUCACGAAGAACUCCGAUUGCGAAGGCAGCUCACCGGACUGCAACUGACGCUGAUGCACGAAAGUGUGGGUAGCGAACAGGAUUAGAUACCCUGGUAGUC
rnacentral:rRNA from 1 species